CGCCCAUUGUGCAGCCUCCGCGCCCCCGCCCCUCGGCGUGCGCCCGGGCUCCGCGCGCGCGGAAUGGCGGCGGCGGCCGUUUGAAGGCAACGGCUGCGGGCGGGGCGCGAGCCGGGAAAAUAGUGUAGAAGGAUAACACGCAUGGCUCCUCCGAAGUCGAGUUUUAUCGAAGCAAGCGUGCCUCGAUGUCCAUAAUCUUUUCUCCCUGAAUCUGGUUGUGUGCUGCAAACCUCCGUUGCUCUCUGUAGUUCCUCUGUGCCUACCUCCAGAGACCAGAUGAGAGCGAGGAAUGCAGGGAAGCGGAGGGUUCAUGGUCUGCGCGUUGUGGACAAAGAAAGAAAGAGCUUUGCCAUCCAUCAUCAGUCACGCCAGCCAAGGAUGCCCCAGGUAGUCAAGAGCCUUCUAUGAACAGAGUCUUAUCUGCAAGGCGUCACCCUGACGAUUUUUCCUCCUUUCACCGUUCUCCUCUCCUCAUCACUUUUCCACCAAAUUGCUGUACUUUACUUGCUGAGAAAGUACCUGGUCUGAGCAGCAGACAGUAGCCUAAGUCGUGGAGUAAAUCGCUGUUGACAGUUCUUGCCUUUUCACUGCUUGAUGAGUGAACUUGUAAGUAAAAUGCUCUGUUCUCUUCUGGUGGUGGAGGCAAGUCUUCCACGUGUGGUCAAGCAGAAUGCAGGACUCGUUUCAAUGUGCAGAUCUCAUGCACGUGGCUAGGCAAGUCGGUGUAUUCCAAUUACUAACUUGCCGCAGGUGUCAAGCUCUGCUUAUUUACAUUGGCAGGUCACCUUAACAUGAGCGUGUGGAAGAAGGCUUAAUCAUUUUAACAGACUAUAUAACGAGUCAUAUAGUUUCCAGAGGGACCUGGACAGGCUAGUAAUUUGCAGCAAGAUCAAGAGGAUAGCAAGGAAUCAUGUUUUGACCAGUAAAUUCUAGAAUGUAGAGACAAUAAACAUGUAAUUUUAUUUGAAAUAACUAGUAUAACUUAAAGAUAUAGGGAU